CUGAAUGGAUUUACUGGAGAGAAGAUCUACCCUUGGUGUGAGUGCCACCAACCAAUAGGGGUGUAGCCUGAAAGGAAUAAAAAGGGGGAAGGACAAAGGAACUUUCUCUUUUGUUUCUUUGGAGGAGCUCCAGUUUUCAUCUUCACCUUGGACAUCUGUCUCCUGGCUUCCAGAACAGACUCUUCAGCUUCCUGAUACAGACCUGCAUGGGCCUCUAUUGUGAGCUCCAGGCCUUCAACUUUUGACUGGAUCCUUGGAUCUCCAGUAGGCUGUCUGACCCUUUGCACUCUUCCACACCUGACUCUGCAAAUGGCCAUUGUCUUUGGACUCUGACUGAGUUAUAUCACCAACUUCUCUGUUUCUGCAUCUCACAGAUGGACUAUGAUGGGACUUUUCAGCCUCUACAAGCAGCUGUGCAACAGAAGAUGAAAGCAACUGAGUCCAAGGCAGCUGGCCCAGGCCUGCCAUCACUUCUGACUGAGGAGAGCAGCCAUAUGGCAUGGAUUAGUCACAAAUCAAACCACCAGCACCUACCAUCAUGAGAAGCUGACUUCCUUUGCCAUUUCACACACAGGAAUGCUUUCAAAAAAAUAUUUUGAAUUUUAAGCCCUAAUGUAAGUAUUGGGUAAAUGAUUCAGUAAAAUGUGAUGUUUAAUAUCCAAUGCCCAAUUUCUUUUUGAAGAAACAUGCCAGUUUAUUUUGUAGAUCUCUACAUUGUAGUUGGAAUAUUUAUUUCCUAGGAUAUGACCAGUAGGUGCAAUCUUUUCAAAUGCCCCCCACUCAAAAAAAGUCCCUGAACAAAACCAGAUCACAGUAACUUUUGAAUUCCAUGUAUGAGAGAAAAAAAAUGAAUUCCAUUCAUUUUUAUUUACAGAACCCUUUCAUUUGUGAUUUAGCAAUACAAAAAUAGAGAAAAAUUAAUCAUUCUUUUAUUGCUCGUGAAAUGUCUAACCUUUAGUUACCCAAUGAAUCUCAUCCUCUGAAAGUAGUCACUACUGUGUUUAUGAAAAGUAUUUCUCCUUUAAUAAUAUAAUCACAAACCUAGACAUUAGUUCCAAAGGUUAACAGUUUAAUAAUUUUUGGCAAAACAAGCACUACCACACAAUUUGGCACAAACUUACAUAACUUGAACCCACUGCUAACCAACACAUGGAUUAGAAUAGCAAAGUUUUGGGAGGCUAAAGGGUUAUACAUUGGUACCUGGAAAGUUUCUUGAUUCCUUAUUAAGAUAUAUACUGACAUUAUACCCGACUGAAAGCAAAACAUAAACUUAACAUAUAACUUCAAGUAGAAAAGGAAGAAAAGUAACUUUUCGGGAGCUUCACUUUAAAAGUUCCUCUACUUCGAAAUUACCAAGAACCUAAUAUGAGGUUAGGGAAGAGAAGAUUUGUAAUUAUUUAAAAGAAUCUUAGAUCUUCUUUUAGAAAAUAUUAUAGAGGAGAUUCAAAAUUUUGGAUACACUGGCAAAGCAAUUCUUUUCAUGAAAACUAUUUUAACAAGCACAUAAGAUGCAAAUGUGAGGCACCUGAAAUAUUAGAUUAUUAAUGCCCUAUAAUACCUGCUACAGUUGUGACACCUCUUAAAAAAAAAAAAAACCCUUUGAUGUGAGCCAAUGGUCCCCUUAAAUUUUCUUUUCAGGGCCAGGGAUGUAGCUCAGUGGCAUAGCACCUGCCUGGCAAGUGCGAGGUCCUGAGUUUAAUUCCCAGUACUCCCCAAUUUUUUUUUCUUUUCAAAUAAUAUACUUGCUAUAAUAGUAUUAUUCUUAUUUCCAGAGAAAUGAUUGGAACCACAGAAUUCAAAAUUUAUCACAAAACAAAUCAUUGUCUUUGUACAGCUCUUAUAUUCCAAAAGUAUACUUAAAGUCAAUUGUAAGAAACAACACAUUUUUCUGGAAAAAGAAACUAUACAUGGAAAGCUAAAUAUCACUCCCAGAGCUUCUGCAAUUGGUCUGGGGCAUGAACUAUACACAAGGAUUCCCAGUAUCCUACUUAGCUCAUAAUAAAUAUACUAGGAACCAAACUAAGUCCCGAUAUAUAUCUCUACUACUAUGAAGAAAUUACUUUAUUUUCUAACAGGAGACCUAAGGAAUCACUGAGUCUAACUCACCCCUCUCCCCAUUAGGGACUGGGAAGAAAGCUGGAUCGGGGAAAAAAAACCCCACCUCUGUAUGUAAAAAUGUUUAAUAUUUGUGAAUUUACCUACUCACUAAAAUUUAUAAUCCCAAAAGUACUACUCAUGGUGUUUCUGUGGUCAUUUAUGACAUGAUGAGAAUGGCAAAAGUUUGAGUUGCCCAACACAUGUUCCCAGCUGAGGUCAAGCAAGGUUUCAGCUCUCAUACUAUAAACACAUGUGCUUUUCAAGGUCUAUUUAGAGCCUCACUUUUUAUAUUUUUGUACUUCUGGUUGAUUUCACAAUUUAAAAUGACCCCAAGCAUGGUGCUUAAGUUCUGACUAGUGUUCCUAAGCACAAAAAGACUGAUGUGCCAAAUGGGUGUCAGAUAAGCUUUGUUCAUAUAUGAGUUACAGUGCUGUUGGCUGAGAGUUCAGUGUUGACGAACCAAAAGUAAUAUACAUUAAAUAAGGUGUCUUUAAAUGGAAGUACAUAAAACAGACUUAGUAUGGAUCAGCUAAAAGAAUUUGACCAAAAGCCUACUGAACCCCACUGUAUAUUUCUUUAGCAGAAACUGUUCAGGUUCAGUGUUUGCUGAUUUAGUGUUCUGAGUCACUUUCAGGACACAAUCAUUAUGAAUAAGGCAAAUUGAUAUAUAAGUUCUGUUCUAUUUCUUUGUGAUUUAAUUGAUCCUCCACUUACCUCAGGCCAGGGAAAACCAGUUUUGUCUUCCUUUGCACUUUAUCUCAACAUUUUUUUAUCCUAUAAAAAUUUGUGUUGUCACUUGAACUGGUUAUAUAACAUAUGCCUGGCUCCCUUACAUCACAUUUCAUUUUAUAUCUGUUAGUCAUGAUUGUAUUUUUCUGAAAAAUUUCUACCAGUAAUUUUGGAGGUCUCACUGAGCUCCCCAAUAGCUGGACCAACCAAAAGCAGGCAAACUUCUCCACCAAAGAAAUGGCGUAUCUAUGCUUAAGACCAUAUACAGGACAUCUUUCCUUGGCUCUAAGAGCAAAGAUCCAAAACAAGAUAACCUUGUUGACUUUUCUUUCUAAUUUUAAUUUGGUAAUAAGUUUGGUGACUGGUUUUACAAUCUGCCCAUCUGAUGAUCCCCUGUAAACAGAUCGAUAAUUUAUAAAUGCCUAUUCUCUAUUAAGAGGGAAAAGACAAAGAAUCUGGUUGAUUAGUCUUGCCUUUACUUCUCUUUAUGUUUGUAAGUGACAUUUUUCUACCUCCAAGUGGCUUUUUUAUAAUUUAACUUUUUAAAUUAUAAAAUCUGUUUAAGGAGAUAAAUAAGUUGUUAUAUGAAUUUCUAAUACUUUAAAUGUGCCAGAUUUUAAAAGAAACAUUUCAAGAAUAAGUUAAUAUAUGCAGGUAAACAAGACUAAUAAUUCUGAUUUAAUGAAAAUAGCUAUGUUUUCUCUGCCUUAUCAGCAUUAAAUUUAAUACACAGAUUUUUAUUCUUGUUAAAUAUGUUCUUCCUGAAGUUAUAUAUACAAGUUUACUGAUCAAGUAAACCAUGAUUGUUAAAUGUCUACAGUUGUAAAAAAUGUAAAUUUGUGUUUUAACCAAAUGGAUUAUUCUGGCAAUCUUAUUUUUAAUUAUGUUCUGUAGUAUGUUAUCUUAAAAAUUAAUUUUUCAGAUUGGUAGGUAACAAAAAAUAUUAAGACGUUAUCAGUUAGAUAUUUUCAUUAGAUACCUACACAAUUUCUAAAUAGCACAGAAUAAGGUGUCUCUAAACAAAACUUGUGGGAAAACUGAAUUCCCAGUAAGGGGCUAAUGAGAUAUAAUAUUAGCGAUAUCCCACCCCUCAAAAAAACCGUGGAUAGGGAAGAGGGAAAGAAUCAAAAAAGAUUAUGUCUCAAUGGAAAACUAUGCACUAGUAUACCCUUGCCCUUCAGCAUUAUUAGUUUUAUUUCUGUUGCUUGUCUUCAUCUAUUGGCAACUCUUUUUAAGUUAUACACAACUGAUAAGCACAUAAACUCUGUCCUGGGUCCUAUGAGUUGUAAUUGACACUCCUCUUCCCCAAGGAAAAAAACCCAAUUUUGCAAUUCACCUCAAAAUUACUUUAUUCUACAUAAAUCUGUGCUGUUAAACGUCUAGCUAGUUCUCAUAUCAUGAACAAAAUAAAUUAUUUUACUUUGCAUCUUGUAUCUGUAUGACAGUAGUGAUU